rnacentral:rRNA from 1 species
UACGUAGGGCGCAAGCGUUGUCCGGAAUUAUUGGGCGUAAAGAGCUCGUAGGCGGUUUGUCGCGUCUGCCGUGAAAGCUGGGGGCUUAACCCUUAGUCUGCGGUGGAUACGGGCAGGCUGGAGGCAGGUAGGGGAGAACGGAAUUCCCGGUGUAGCGGUGAAAUGCGUAGAGAUCGGUAGGAACACCAGUGGCGAAGGCGGUCUCCUGGGGCUCACUUGACGCUGAUGCGCGAAAGCUGGGGGAGCAAACGGG